rnacentral:rRNA from 1 species
GUGGGGAAUAUUGGACAAUGGGCGAAAGCCUGAUCCAGCCAUGCCGCGUGUGUGAAGAAGGUCUUCGGAUUGUAAAGCACUUUAAGUUGGGAGGAAGGGCAGUAAGUUAAUACCUUGCUGUUUUGACGUUACCGACAGAAUAAGCACCGGCUAACUUCGUGCCAGCAGCCGCGGUAAUACGAAGGGUGCAAGCGUUAAUCGGAAUUACUGGGCGUAAAGCGCGCGUAGGUGGUUUUGUAAGUUGGAGGUGAAAUCCCCGGGCUCAACCUGGGAACUGCCUCAAAAACUGCAUGACUAGAGUACGGUAGAGGGUAGUGGAAUUUCCUGUGUAGCGGUGAAAUGCGUAGAUAUAGGAAGGAACACCAGUGGCGAAGGCGACUACCUGGACUGAUACUGACGCUCAUGCACGAAAGCGUGGGGAGCAAACAGGAUUAGAUACCCGUGUAGUCC